rnacentral:rRNA from 1 species
AUACGGAGGGGACUAGCGUUGUUCGGAAUUACUGGGCGUAAAGCGAGUGUAGGUUGUCAGGUAAGUAGGAUGUGAAAGCCCGGGGCUCAACCCCGGAAUUGCAUUCUAAACUGCCUGGCUAGAGUCCCGGAGAGGGAGGUGGAAUUCCGAGUGUAGAGGUGAAAUUCGUAGAUAUUCGGAGGAACACCAGAGGCGAAGGCGACCUCCUGGACGGUGACUGACACUGAGACUCGAAAGCGUGGGGAGCAAACAGGAUUAGAUACCCGGGUAGUCC